rnacentral:rRNA from 1 species
GACGAACGCUGGCGGCGUGCUUAACACAUGCAAGUCGAACGGAUAGGCCCUGCUUUUGUGGGGUGCUCGCGUGGCGAACGGGUGAGUAACACGUGAGUAACCUGCCCUUGACUUUGGGAUAACUUCAGGCAACUGGGGCUAAUACCGGCUAGGAGCUCCUGCUGCAUGGUGGGGGUUGGAAAGUUUCGGCGGUUGGGGGUGGACUGGGGGCUUAUGAGCUUGUUGGUGGGGUAGUGGCUUACCAAGGCUUUGACGGGUAGCCGGCAUGAGAGGUGGACCGGCCACAUGGGUACUGCGAGAGGGCCCAGAGUCCUACGGGAGGCAGUAGUGGGGAAUAUUGCACAAUGGGCGGGAGCCUGAUGCAGCAAUGCUGCGUGCGGGAAGACGGCCUUCUGGUGGGAAACCGCUUUCGCCUGUGACGAAGCGUGAGUGACGGUAAUGGGUAAAGAAGCACCGGCUAACUACGUG